AGGUUUAGAAAACACACGUCUAAUAGUGUUCAAGGAAAAUGUAUUAAAGCAACAUCGUAGUGUCCCUAGAAGGCUUCUGUAAGAAUCUUACAUUUUGGCUCAAGCCCAGGCUGUGGUGCUUCUCUGAGCCAAGAUGGCUUCUGAGCAGGCAGGGAUCAGGAAGCAGGUGUGUGUUAUUGAGCUGGACACACCCGGACCUUUGGGAUAGGUUCCUACAGAACAAGCCCAACCCCUGUAGUUAAUGAAGAGGCUUAUAAAAGUGAAGCCUGGGAGACAAAGGCUUAGAUUGUGCUUUGAUUUGGAGAAGAAUAUAAGAUUUGUUUUAAUUGUGAGUUGUAUUUCCAAUGUUCCUAUGGCUUUAGAAUAGUAGGAUCUAUUUGGUGAGAACAGCAGGAUGUCAAUGGUUUGGAGAUUCAACUAGAACACUGUUCUUGAAGCCAGCUGACUAUCUGUGAGACUUGACAAGCUUGACAAGAGUUGUGGUGUGGAAAUGCAGUGAGUGCUGCUGCCCAGUAGGGAGAGCUACAUGUGAGGAGAUGUAUGUAUCGGCUCAUGGGUAAGGCAAGAUAGAGUGAGUAGAAGUUGUGGAGUAAAUUGCCAUUGGGAAAAACUUCUACUCAAUGAUGCUGAAUGUAAAUGUUUAGGGUCCUGCAUGUGAAAACAAGCAGCCUGACCAUAUUGCUUAGUGUCUGUAGUCUAGUCUAGGGGUUAGUUGGCUGCUCCUCUAUACUGCCUCUGGGGGUAGGAUAGAGAUUAGGGGGCAGAUUUUAAGUAUAGUUGUAAUCACAGGACUAUGAAAGCCUCUGCACAAUUGAAGCUUUAUGGGUAUUUAUGAUUCCUUGCCUUGAUCCAUCUUAAAUGCCGGAUGCUUGGAAAAUCCAUCUGGUCUUGGCAGAACACUGUUGUGGGGAAAGAUGUGAUUCCACAAGAGCCCCUUCCAAAGGCCUAUGUCUCCAGGUUCUUGAGGAAAGCUGUAUACCAGGAGGAGCCCAGUGGGAUACUGAAACCCAGCUUGACCCUGCUACACGCCAGUGAGGAGAGACCUCUACACUGAGAUCCCAGAGUGUACUUCCUUACAGCAGUAUCUCCACUGGCCGUCCCACAGACCUGUCAUGGACAAUGCAGCUCACUGUGUAAGUCCUCUGGGAAGAAUGGAGACUUGCAACUGAAGCUCUCCAACAGGAAUGUGCCAUCCUCCACACUGCAUCUGCAAUGUAGA